AGCGAACGCUGGCGGCAGGCUUAACACAUGCAAGUCGAACGGGCAUAGCAAUAUGUCAGUGGCAGACGGGUGAGUAACGCGUGGGAACAUACCUCUUGGUUCGGAACAACACAGGGAAACUUGUGCUAAUACCGGAUAAGCCCUUACGGGGAAAGAUUUAUCGCCGAGAGAUUGGCCCGCGUCUGAUUAGCUAGUUGGUGUGGUAAAGGCGCACCAAGGCGACGAUCAGUAGCUGGUCUGAGAGGAUGAUCAGCCACAUUGGGACUGAGACACGGCCCAAACUCCUACGGGAGGCAGCAGUGGGGAAUAUUGGACAAUGGGCGCAAGCCUGAUCCAGCCAUGCCGCGUGAGUGAUGAAGGCCCUAGGGUUGUAAAGCUC
rnacentral:rRNA from 1 species